rnacentral:rRNA from 1 species
GGUAACGCUACUAAGAGCGAAUGGUGGAUGCCUUGACUGGUAAAGGCGAUGAAGGACGUACUAGACUGCGAUAAGCUACGGGGAGCUGUCAAGAAGCUUUGAUCCGUAGAUUUCCGAAUGGGGCAACCCAAUGUAUAGAGAUAUACAUUACCUAUAUAGGAGCGAACGAGGGGAAUUGAAACAUCUUAGUACCCUCAGGAAAAGAAAUCAAUAGAGAUUGCGUCAGUAGCGGCGAGCGAAAGCGCAAGAGGGCAAACCCAGUGCUUAGCACUGGGGGUUGUAGGACUGCAAUGUGCAAGAGGUGAGUUUAGCAGAACAUUCUGGAAAGUAUAGCCAUAGAGGGUGAUAGUCCCGUAUGACGAAAAACAAACCUUAGCUAGCAGUAUCCUGAGUAGGGCGGGACACGAGAAAUCCUGUCUGAAGCCGGGUCGACCACGAUCCAACCCUAAAUACUAAUACCAGAUCGAUAGUGCACAAGUACCGUGAGGGAAAGGUGAAAAGAACUGAGGUGAUCAGAGUGAAAUAGAACCUGAAACCAUUUGCUUACAAUCAUUCAGAGCACUAUGUAGCAAUACAGUGUGAUGGACUGCCUUUUGCAUAAUGAGCCUGCGAGUUGUGGUGUCUGGCAAGGUUAAGCAAACGCGAAGCCGUAGCGAAAGCGAGUCUGAAUAGGGCGCUUAGUCAGAUGCUGCAGACCCGAAACGAAGUGAUCUAUCCAUGAGCAAGUUGAAGCUAGUGUAAGAACUAGUGGAGGACUGAACCCAUAGGCGUUGAAAAGCCCCGGGAUGACUUGUGGAUAGGGGUGAAAGGCCAAUCAAACUUCGUGAUAGCUGGUUCUCUCCGAAAUAUAUUUAGGUAUAGCGUUGUGUCGUAAUAGUAAGGGGGUAGAGCACUGAAUGGGCUAGGGCAUACACCAAUGUACCAAACCCUAUCAAACUCCGAAUACCUUAUAUGUAAUCACAGCAGUCAGGCGGCGAGUGAUAAAAUCCGUCGUCAAGAGGGAAACAACCCAGACUACCAGCUAAGGUCCCUAAAUCUUACUUAAGUGGAAAACGAUGUGAAGUUUACUUAAACAACCAGGAGGUUUGGCUUAGAAGCAGCCAUCCUUUAAAGAAAGCGUAAUAGCUCACUGGUCUAGUGAUUUUGCGCGGAAAAUAUAACGGGGCUAAAGUAAGUACCGAAGCUGUAGACUUGACUUUGUCAAGUGGUAGGAGAGCGUUCUAUUUGCGUCGAAGGUAUACCGGUAAGGAGUGCUGGAGCGAAUAGAAGUGAGCAUGCAGGCAUGAGUAGCGAUAAUUAAUGUGAGAAUCAUUAACGCCGUAAACCCAAGGUUUCCUACGCGAUGCUCGUCAUCGUAGGGUUAGUCGGGUCCUAAGUCGAGUCCGAAAGGGGUAGACGAUGGCAAAUUGGUUAAUAUUCCAAUACCAACAUUAGUGUGCGAUGGAAGGACGCUUAGGGCUAAGGGGGCUAGCGGAUGGAAGUGCUAGUCUAAGGUCGUAGGUGCUUAUACAGGCAAAUCCGUAUAAGAAUACACCGAGAACUGAAAGGCUUUUUGAAGUCUUCGGAUGGAUAGAAGAACCCCUGAUGCCGUCGAGCCAAGAAAAGUUUCUAAGUUUAGCUAAUGUUGCCCGUACCGUAAACCGACACAGGUGGGUGGGAUGAGUAUUCUAAGGCGCGUGGAAGAACUCUCUUUAAGGAACUCUGCAAAAUAGCACCGUAUCUUCGGUAUAAGGUGUGGUUCGCUUCGUAUUAGGAUUUACUCCGAAAGCGAAGAAACUUACAACAAAGAGUCCCUCCCGACUGUUUACCAAAAACACAGCACUCUGCUAACUCGUAAGAGGAUGUAUAGGGUGUGACGCCUGCCCGGUGCUCGAAGGUUAAUUGAUGGGGUUAGCAUUAGCGAAGCUCUUGAUCGAAGCCCGAGUAAACGGCGGCCGUAACUAUAACGGUCCUAAGGUAGCGAAAUUCCUUGUCGGUUAAAUACCGACCUGCAUGAAUGGCGUAACGAGAUGGGAGCUGUCUCAAAGAGGGAUCCAGUGAAAUUGUAGUGGAGGUGAAAAUUCCUCCUACCCGCGGCAAGACGGAAAGACCCCGUGGACCUUUACUACAGCUUGACACUGCUACUUGGAUAAGAAUGUGCAGGAUAGGUGGGAGGCUUUGAGUAUAUGACGCCAGUUGUAUAUGAGCCAUUGUUGAGAUACCACUCUUUCUUAUUUGGGUAGCUAACCAGCUUGAGUUAUCCUCAAGUGGGACAAUGUCUGGUGGGUAGUUUGACUGGGGCGGUCGCCUCCCAAAUAAUAACGGAGGCUUACAAAGGUUGGCUCAGAACGGUUGGAAAUCGUUCGUAGAGUAUAAAGGUAUAAGCCAGCUUAACUGCAAGACAUACAAGUCAAGCAGAGACGAAAGUCGGUCUUAGUGAUCCGGUGGUUCUGUGUGGAAGGGCCAUCGCUCAAAGGAUAAAAGGUACCCCGGGGAUAACAGGCUGAUCUCCCCCAAGAGCUCACAUCGACGGGGAGGUUUGGCACCUCGAUGUCGGCUCAUCGCAUCCUGGGGCUGGAGCAGGUCCCAAGGGUAUGGCUGUUCGCCAUUUAAAGCGGUACGCGAGCUGGGUUCAGAACGUCGUGAGACAGUUCGGUCCCUAUCUGCCGUGGGCGUAAGAAGAUUGAAGAGAUUUGACCCUAGUACGAGAGGACCGGGUUGAACAAACCACUGGUGUAGCUGUUGUUCUGCCAAGAGCAUCGCAGCGUAGCUAAGUUUGGAAAGGAUAAACGCUGAAAGCAUCUAAGCGUGAAGCCAACUCUAAGAUGAAUCUUCUCUAAGCUCUCUAGAAGACUACUAGUUUGAUAGGCUGGGUGUGUAAUGGAUGAAAGUCCUUUAGCUGACCAGUACUAAUAGAGCGUUUGGCUUAUCUUU